CGGGAAGUAAGCUCAGCUUGGUAGAGCACUUGGUUUGGGACCAAGGGGUCGCAGGUUCGAAUCCUGUCUUCCCGACCA
rnacentral:tRNA from 1 species